CCCCUCUCAGGACUGCUCCCGGAGAGUUUCCUGUACCCUACUGGCCUCAGUUAUAGGAGGGAGAGUCAAGCAGAGACAUAUCCUUUCCAUUCCUAGUUUGGGCAGUGGUUAGCGAUUGGAAGGCAAUCUGCUACAAGC